CCCGCAACGAGCGCAACCCUUAUCCUUUGUUGCCAGCGGUUAGGCCGGGAACUCAAAGGAUACUGCCAGUGAUAAACUGGAGGAAGGUGGGGAUGACGUCAAGUCAUCAUGGCCCUUACGACCAGGGCUACACACGUGCUACAAUGGCAUAUACAAAGAGAAGCGACCUCGCGAGAGCAAGCGGACCUCAUAAAGUAUGUCGUAGUCCGGAUUGGAGUCUGCAACUCGACUCCAUGAAGUCGGAAUCGCUUGUAAUCGUAGAUCAGAAUGCUACGGUUAAUACGUU
rnacentral:rRNA from 1 species